rnacentral:tRNA from 1 species
UCUCCCUGUGGCGCAGUGGAUAGCGCGUUGGACUUCUAAUUCAAAGGUCCCGGGUUUGAAUACCGGCAGGAAAU